CUUCCGGGCUGCCGUUCGCUUUUUCAGGGAGGGCGGGACUUCCGCUUCCGAGACGGUACCAGUUGGAGGUGACUUCCGGCCUGCCGCGGGACGGAGGUGGUCCCUGGGUCUUGAAGGACCUGCAUGGAGUCUGCUCUGCAUUGAUUAUGUCUCCCCCAGCACAACUGUAUAUGUUGACUACUAAGCCCCAUGUGACGGUACUAGGAGGUGGGGCCUCUGGAAGGUGAUUAGCUCACGAGGGUGGAGCCCUCAUGAUAGAACCAGUGGCCUCCUGAGAAGAGACAUGGGAGCUCUCGCACAGUGUGAACGUACAGCAAGAGGGCAGCUGACUGCAAACCAGGAAGCAGGCCUCCCAGACACUGGACCUGCCAAAAUCUGCAUCUCAGACUUCCAGCCUCCGGAACCGUGAGCCGUGUUUGUCAUUUUAGUUACCUCAUUUAUGGCAAUUUGUCAUGGCAGCAUGAAUCAACUAAAACAGAAUCCAACAAAGCCCCACAAAAAGUGAUCAAAGACAUCCAAAUGACAAAA